rnacentral:rRNA from 1 species
UACGGAGGGUGCAAGCGUUAUCCGGAUUCACUGGGUUUAAAGGGUGCGUAGGCGGGUAAGUAAGUCCGUGGUGAAAUCUCUGAGCUUAACUCAGAAACUGCCGUGGAUACUAUUUGCCUUGAAUAUUGUGGAGGUGAGCGGAAUAUGUCAUGUAGCGGUGAAAUGCUUAGAUAUGACAUAGAACACCAAUUGCGAAGGCAGCCUUCUGGGCCAACACUGACGCUCAUGCACGAAAGCGUGGGGAGCAAACAGG